rnacentral:rRNA from 1 species
CAAUAGCGUAUAUUAAAGUUGUUGCAGUUAAAAAGCUCGUAGUUGAAUUUCUGGGCGGCCCGCCGGUCUUCCAUGUGUUGUACUGGGCGGCGCCGGCCAUCCUUGUGGAGAGGGCUCGCAUUUGGUUGCGUGUCGGAUCUGCAUCAUUUACUGUGAAAAAAUUAGAGUGUUUAAAGCAGGCUGUCGCUUGAAUACAUUAGCAUGGAAUAAUAAGAUAGGACUUCGGUCUAUUUUGUUGGUUGCGAACCGAGGUAAUGAUUAAUAGGGAUAGUUGGGGGUAUUCGUAUUUAAUUGUCAGAGGUGAAAUUCUUGGAUUUAUGAAAGAUGAACAACUGCGAAAGCAUUUACCAAGGAUGUUUUCAUUAA